ensembl:lncRNA
GGAGAAUCUCAAUUUAAAUAACUUUUUAAUCUUGGACUAGGCUAAAUGAAUGAAUCUGUGUAUGAACAGCUGGCCCUAAGCUUUGAUCUCUGCAUAUCCUUCUCACAACACUAAAAUAAGUCAUUCUUGGCUCAUUCUACAGUACAUCAAUGUUCUCACAGUGAGUCUUGUUCUUAGGAAAGACAUGGUAACAUUCCAAGACCUAUGUGUUUGGGAAAUGUUUUAUUUUGGUCAAAUAAAGUACAUGUUUAGCAGUUGUUAUUGCAGGUGUAGAGAAAUGCUUGUGCAUGUACAAAGUACAGUGAAAUGCUUAACUUGCAAGCCAACAUUGCAGUAUUCAAUAUCAAAAUAUUAUAACAAAAUACAAUGUAAAAAAAUACAAAUGAGGAUACAAUGUGUGAUGAAUUUUCCUAAUUGUCUUUAGUCAUGACCAUAAACAGUAAACCAUAUUCUUCUGCUGCUGCUACGGGUAUUGUGUGAGACAUUGUCUUCACAGGUCAAGGCCUCAAAUAAUUAGCCAAAUUGUUUAACCUGAGCAUGACCCCAAAACUAAGGACUUAUUAGCCACCCCUACUCUGUUGUUUAUUAUAAUGUUGUCAUGGAGGACUGAUUGGGCUCAUUGAUUUGAGUUGAAAACUAAAUGCUGCUCUCAUGGAAAGGCAUGCUUUCAGCCCUACUGAAACGUUCUAUUUACUUGUGAAAAAUGAAUUCCAUAAGCUGCAAUUUGCUAUUGGCCUUUUGUUUACCUUUUUGUUGGUGACACUUUGAUAUCUUGAUAAUAUGCAGCUGUUUAACGGGCAAAUUCACAGAUGAAACAAUAACAAAACGGACACCCUGCCUCUGUUUUGCUUAUAUUUUGGAUUCUCAUGGAGUGUGACAGUUGAACUAAGCUCACAAGGCAUUUAUAAGUUAUAUUCUUCAAGAAUCAAUGGAUACAUAAAUAUAUAAUUUAUAAAUCCAAAAAUGGAUGUAUUUCCACACACUGUAUAUAGAUUUUUUUCUAUUGUGUUAUUGGCUAUAGGUUUGUUUAUUCCAUGUGUAACUCUGUGUUGUUGCUUGUGUCGCACUGCUUUGCUUUAUCUUGUUCAGGUCGCAGUUGUAAAUGAGAACUUGUUCGCAACUGGCCUCCCUGGUUAAAUAAAGGUUAAAUAAAAAAUAAAUACAUAAAAAACUACAGAUUGCCACUUUAAGUCUAUCAAAAGUGUGCAAGUUUGAGCAUGUGUCCAUUAGGCCUAUAAAUAUGAUUUUUUAUCAGCCUGAAUUAGAUUGAGCAACAAAACCCCUACUUCCAUUCCAUAGGCUUGGAUGCACACUCUGCAGCUGUUGCAAGAACACAUUUUUCACUGGUUGUCCACUGGUUUCAAAAACAAUGAUUGAUUAGCAUCUUAAAAUGCUUGAAUUCAACCAUUAUUGGGUUGAAAUACACACUUCGAUUUGUGAACCACCAUCCACAACAACCAUAAUCCGUAAGGCGCAAAUAGCUAAAUGAGAGAGCAGCAGUGUGAUUCACAUUAAUGCGCCAUGUAGGUAUCAAUAAUAAGUGAUAUCCGUAUCACCGUAGACGACACCACUGAUGUCAUCCUUACCUACAAGCGUUUAUUCAAGUUGGAUAAUCUUUGGAUAUCGACAGCAGUCGCACCAUUGGAACACAUAGCUUGGACUGUAGCCUACAAAAGCCUAUUCCUGCUCUUUUCCUGCCAUCCAUCAAACACAUUUGGUGUGUCAUCAUAGUGGUCUCUGACUUAUCAUCAACGUCAUCAUCUUGUUUUUCAAAAGUAUCUGUAAUCUGAUUACAAUAUUUUAGCUGGUAACGUAAUGUAUUAUAUAUAUAUAUUUUUUGUAAUCCGUUACUCCACAACCCUGCCUAUUGUGCUGGGUUAUUGGUCCUGGGUAAAUGAGAUAUGACCCAGCUGGUCAGAUCAGAAGACUGGAGAUGUAGUUUAGUAGGGGCUUGGCUUUCAGAUAGUUACCAUAAGAGGUAUGUCAUUCCUGUUCAUCAAAUCCAAUCAAAUUUUAUUUGUGACAUGUGCUGAAUACAACAUGUGUAGACCUUGCCGUGAAAUGCAAAUUUACAAGCCCUUAAACCAACAGUGCAGUUUACGAAAGAGUUAAGAAGUAAAUAAAUAAACUAAAGUAAAAAAUAUUACAAAGUUACACAAUAAAAUAACAAUAAUGAGGGUAUAUACAGGGAGUAGAGGUACCAUGUCAAUGUGCAGGAGUACAGGUUAGUCGAGGUAAUUUGUACAUGUAGGUAGAGGUGAAGUGACUAUGCAUCGAUUAUAAACAGUGGGUAGUACAAGUGUAAAAAACAAAUGGUGGGGAGGGGUGUCACUGUAAAUAAUUUGUUUAAAUGUUCAGCAGUCUUACAGCUUGGGGGUAGAAGCUGUUAAGGAGACUUUUGGUCCUAGACUUGGUGCUCCAGGACCGCUUGCCGUGCGGUAGAAAACAGUCUAUGACUUGAGAAAACAGUCUAUGACUUGGGUGACUGGAGUCUUUGAAAAUUUUUAGGGCUUUCCUCUGACACCGCCUAGUAUAUAGGACCUGGAUGGCAGGAAACGUGGCCCCAGUGAUGUACUUGGCCGUACGCACUACACUCUGUAGCGCCUUACGGUCAGAUGCCGAGCAGUUACAAUAGCAGGCGGUGAUGAAACCAGUGCUCUCGAUUGUGCAGCUGUAGAACUUUUUGAGGAUCUGAGGAUCCAUGCCCAAUCUGUUCCGUCUCCUGAGGGGGAAGAGGUGUUGUUGUGCCCACUUCAUGACUGACUUGGUGUGUUUGGACCAUGAUAGUUUGUUGGAGAUGUGGACACCAAGGAACUUGAAACUCUCGACCCGCUGCACUACAGCCCCGUCGAUGAUAAUGGGGGCCUGUUCGGCCCGCCUUUUCCUGUAGUCCACGAUCAGCUCCUUGCUCACAUUGAGGGAGAGGUUGUUGUCCUAGCACCACAUGGCCAGGUCUCUGACCUCCUCCCGAUAGGCUGUCUCAUCGUUGUCGCUGAUUAGGCCUACCACUGUUGUGCCGUCAGGAAACUUAAUGAUGGUGUUGGAGUUGUGUUUGGUUACGCAGUCGUGGGUGAACAGGGAAUACAGGAGGGGACUAAGCACAUACAACUGAGGGGCCCCAGUGUUGAGGAUCAGCGUAGCAGACAUGUUGUUGCCUACCCUUACCACCUGGGGGUGGCCCGUCAGGAAGUCGAGGAUCCAGUUGCAGAGGGAGGUGUUUAGUCCCAGGUUCCUUAGCUUAGUGAUUGGCUUUGUGGGCACUAUGGUGUUGAACGCUGAGCUGUACUCAAUGAACAGCAUUCUCACAUAGGUGUUCCUUUUGUCCAGAUGGGAAAGGGCAGUGUGGAGUGCGAUUGUGGAUCUGUUGGGGCGGUAUGUGGAUUGGAUUGGGUCUAGGGUAUCAGGGAGGAUGCUGUUGAUGUGAGCCAUGACCAGCCUUUCAAAGCACUUCAUGGCUACCGACGUGAGUGCUACGGGUGGUAAUCAUUUAGGCAGGUUACUUUCACUUCCUUGGGAACUUGGAUAACUUGGAGUUGAAAAUGUCAGUGAAGACACUUGCCAGUUGGUCUUUGCAUGCUUUGAGUACACAACCUGGUAAUCCAUCUGACCCCAGGGCUUUGUGAAUGUUGACCUGUUUAAAGGUCUUGCUCACAUCGCCUUCCGAGAGCAUUAUCACACAGUCCAGAACAGCUGGUGCUCUCAUGCAUGCUUCAGCGUUGCUUGUCUCGAAGUGAGCAUAAAAGGCAUUUAGCUCAUCUGGUAGGCUCGCAAAAAUAGGCAGUUUGCGGCUGUGUUUCCCUUUGUAGUUCGUAAUAGUUUUCAAGCCUUGCCACAUCCAACGAGCGUCUGAGCCGGUGUAGAAGGAUGUCAUCGUUCAGCCAUGACUCUGUGAAACAUAGGAUAUUAAUUUUUAAUGUCCUGUUGGAAGUAUAAUCUUGAUUAUAGGUCAUCCAUUUUAUUUUCCAAUGAUUGCACAUUGGCUAAUAGAACGGAUGGCAGUGGGAGUUUACUCACUCACCUACGAAUUC